rnacentral:rRNA from 1 species
UUCAUAGAGUGUAAAGGCAUAAGGGAGCUUGACUGCGAGACCUACAAGUCGAGCAGGGUCGAAAGACGGACUUAGUGAUCCGGUGGUUCCGCAUGGAAGGGCCAUCGCUCAACGGAUAAAAGCUACCCCGGGGAUAACAGGCUUAUCUCCCCCAAGAGUUCACAUCGACGGGGAGGUUUGGCACCUCGAUGUCGGCUCAUCGCAUCCUGGGGCUGUAGUCGGUCCCAAGGGUUGGGCUGUUCGCCCAUUAAAGCGGUACGCGAGCUGGGUUCAGAACGUCGUGAGACAGUUCGGUCCCUAUCCGUCGUGGGCGUAGGAAAUUUGAGAGGAGCUGUCCUUAGUACGAGAGGACCGGGAUGGACAUACCUCUGGUGUACCAGUUGUCGUGCCAACGGCAUAGCUGGGUAGCUAUGUGUGGACGGGAUAAGUGCUGAAAGCAUCUAAGCAUGAAGCCCCCCUCAAGAUGAGAUUUCCCAACUUCGGUUAUAAGAUCCCUCAAAGAUGAUGAGGUUAAUA